rnacentral:rRNA from 1 species
UACGUAGGGCGCAAGCGUUGUCCGGAAUUAUUGGGCGUAAAGAGCUCGUAGGCGGUGUGUCACGUCGUUCGUGAAAACCUGCAGCUUAACUGUGGGCGUGCGGUCGAUACGGGCAUCACUGGAGUUCGGCAGGGGAGACUGGAAUUCCUGGUGUAGCGGUGAAAUGCGCAGAUAUCAGGAGGAACACCGGUGGCGAAGGCGGGUCUCUGGGCCGAUACUGACGCUGAGGAGCGAAAGCGUGGGGAGCAAACAGG